UUUGGUGUAUAAAUAAAUGCAUUCUGUGUGUGUAUGGCAAAAUAACUUUUGGGGUGCGUUUGGUUCGCAUUAUGAAAGAUUAUUAGGAGAUAUCCGAGAAUCUUAUUCUUAUUCAUCUUUUUACUAAGAAUGUGGAAUUCUUAUGUUUGGUUCGCACGGUAAUAUUAAUUAGCCAUAUUAUUUAAUAUUACAAAAAAUAUACAAUUAAUUAAUUUAUUUAUUUAAUUAAUUUUAGAUAAUGUUACCAAAAGUUUCAACAUCUUUUUAGAAAAAAGAGAGAGAGAGUAUAAGUUAGAGAGAGAGAGCAUAAUUAAAAAAAUAGAAAGAAAAAUAUAGUCAAAAUUAGAGGAAGCGAGAGAGUUGAAAUUUUAGAAAGAGAGAGAGAGAAAGCUUAGUUUAGAGAGAUAAAAAAAGUUGAAUUUUAGAGAGAAAAAUAAGUUUAGAGAGAGAUAUAAGGUUAGAGUGUAAAAAAAAAUAAUAUCAAUUAGUCGGCGGGUAAAAAGAAAGAAAGAGAUUAGACAUAUUAUGAUUACCCCAAUCCAUUAAUAUAAGGAUACCCACCUUCCCUCAAGGGAAUGAGAUUAGUACUUUGGGGUGAAUCUUAUUCCCAAGUGAAUCUAAUAUUAUCAACUAGAUUAUUUAGUGCGUUAGCCAAACACCGUCAUAUUUUUUUAUUCUCAUUGGAUUACUAGUAAUCUUUAAAAGAUAGCGCGAACCAAACGCACCCUUGAUGUUAAAAUCACCAAUGUAUUUGAUCUAUCACCACAUCUAAAAAUUCAUAACUA
rnacentral:lncRNA from 1 species